rnacentral:pre_miRNA from 15 species
CAGCGACAGAUGCAAUUUUUGUACUACACAAAAGUACUGGUCAUUUAAGUUGAGGCUCAGCACUUUUGUGGUGUGCAAAAAUGGCAAGUUGCUUUUAUCU